UGCCAUGACUAAAAAUAGAAUAUGCAUGUGCAGAUGCAGUUAAGAAACCACUUACAUAACCAAGAGACCAACAGUUGAAUUUAAUUUGGUCUAAAUAUGAAUAUUUUUUCACAAUCGAAACCAUCAGUAGAUCAAUUACACCCCCUAACAUCAUCUGGUUGAGCAGAUGGAACGUUAACUUUAAGGAGGCAAUAGCCUAAUCAGUCUAAUAAUUCAUCUUAGCCAAUAUAUGUGGCAAAUAAAGUCUGAUACAUAACUCUGACAUCUAGCAAAAUCACCUAUCAUGACUUCUUCAAAUCCAUGAUCAUUUUUUUUGUCAUAUUGGCAAAUUGCUUGACACUCAGCCAAAAGGUGCUGACGUUCCAAGAUCCCUUUUCCACGACCUUCAAUCCAGUAAUAGCCAAAAACAGUCUAAAUAAGUUCACAUACAUAUUCCUAGUCAACCAUGAUUUACCGAUCUAAUAGUCCAGAGUAACAAUUACAGACAACGCUAAUAGAACUUUAUAGGAAACAAGAAUACUGCUUAGGCUAUUCCUUGAAAGAAACAACAAUGUGUUAGCGGUAAAAAAUGAUUGAUUAAAUUCCACAAGUGUUAGGUCAAUAGUCAUGCCUCUUAUGACUGAUGUAUACUCUCGUGUCAUUAGAGUAAUCUUACCACAAAUGCAGAAGGAUAACUAUAAAAGGCAACCAAAAUAAUUGAAGUAACAUAACUGCGUUACUUACCUUUGAAUUUUUUUAUUCACAUAGCAUUUAUAUUCUCAUUGAGUUUCUUUUAGUACCAUUGUUUGCCACCAAACUGACAUAAAACAGUCAAUGAAAAGAAGCAUGUGCAAAAUCAGUCCAAAGGAAAAGCUAAAGAAAUCAAGAAAUUCUACAAUUGCCUUCAACAAAAUUCAACAAUACCUCAUUGCAGAGCGCUCUUAUCUCUAAAACGUCACAACCUCUCAGAGAACUUUCUUUGACACAAUCUGAAGACAACCAAGAAAUUUGGACAUGCAUAAGUAGAAUCAAUUAAGAGAAGAGCAAAAGAACAGGUAGUUCUAGAAUAGUCAUAAGAAAUUUCUAUACCUUCUACGCGGAAAAUAUAAUACGGAGUAUAUGGAAUUCGAAAAGGGCAGAGGAAAAAUUUCAGGAAAAAAAAUAAUCAGAAUCCAGGAAGAAGAUGAUGUAAGAGAGGGAAAAAGAGCGCUAUGGGAAACCACAACGUACGAUCCACAACGUACGAUUCUAGAAAUAUGGAUACGAAGAAAGAAGAGAAGAUUCAAAACACGUCGUUCAAAAAGUAUACGUGUGAAAACCAAUUUGGAAAAAACAGCCCUCACUAUGCACCGUACGAUUUUAUCCUUGGACGACCAAAUUGUGCAUUUCAACGCUCAAACUCCAGAUUUUAUUGGACCAUCAUCCACAAGAUCUUGAACCUCACUGUAUUGAAUCCCACGGCACAAGAAUAAAAUCUAUCAUCAAAUUUUUAAUUAUGGCAUAACCAAAGAUAUGAGGCAAGCUUGCUCUGGAUUACUGUAAGUUUAAAAAAAUCACCAAAAUCACAUUUCUAAACUUACAAAAUUUAUUUUGUGUGCCUUGGGUAUGACAUCAUCACUUUGUAGAGUUGUAUAGCUCAUUCAUGGCUGCAAAAAUAAAGUAUAUUUAGGUAUAAAAUGGUAACUAAGUUAUGCUAGAGCCCAAUACAUCUUUAAAAUAAAGACUAUCUUUCAUGUUUCUUACUUUUCUUAAUUUUUUCUCCUUCAUGCAUUUCAAUUCAACAUUCUGCAAAAAAAGGAAAGCAGCAAUCCUGGUCAUAAACAAAUCUAUAUAUAACAUUUUUAUACCAAAUGCACUAAAGUAAAAUUUGCUAUAUAAACAAAAUAUCAAUUAAUAGCGAGUCAGUCAUAAAUAAUUUUGGAUUUUGCUAGGUACGACCAAUGGUCACUAUGUAGUAUUUUGGGCUAUUUUCUAUAUAUAACCAAACAUUUGUUGAGUAACAGAUUAAACUCUGUUUUUUUUCUUUCAUUCAAGCAUUAUCCUAUUUCUAUGUAGAACUUACAAGUCACAACUAAGAAGUUACUUAUAGAAAAUUAAGCUCUUUCACAUACCUAUUACCUGUACCAUGUCAGUGAUAGUCAUACUAUCCUUCUUCCUUUUGUUAGAGCAGAUUCUUUAACACAUGAAGGAUAUGGAAAGAAUAUUAUAUCAGUUCAUUUUCUCACAUUCAUCGUAAGUAUAAGAGUUACCUGACAGUUGAAGUGUGAAGAAAUGCACAGAACAAUAGAAGAAGCACCAGAAACACAUAGAAGAAUAUAAGCCCCUGAGGUUGCAGUUUUCUUCCAAAAUUACCAGCUGUUUUUCGAUUGUUAUACCUGUAAGAAAAGCCGCUAGAAAUUACUUGUAUUUACAAAAUUAAAUUGUAUUCCAUUACAACAAAGGAGGCCAUGCAUAAAUAGAGGCCACUAUAAGAGUGAAAAUACAAAGCAGCAACAUGCAAAGAUCGAAAAUACCAAAUUGAACUCAUCUGACCGAUUUUAACUUAUAUUAAGUCAGAACCCCUAUAUCUAAACCAACAAAAUAGGAUUAGUUGUUUGUGAUUGUAGAAAAAACUGUUAACCUACCCUGAUAAAAAAAUAUUUGAAGGUAUGCGCUAGGAAUCGACAUUCUUUGAAGUAUUCUGCAAAUGGAUGAUAAUGUUUCACUUAAUUAAAUCCUAAUUCCUGAUUGCAUGUACAAGAUUCAGUGAAGAAAAAAGUUAAAUAAUAACUCUGUCAAUCUAAAAAGACCAAUUCACAGAUAUAAACAAUAAAAUAAAAUUCAUAUUAUUAUCAAAGUUCAAGGGAAAAAUAUCAAUAUUGACGAUGGAAUCCAUGGUGACUCUACUUCCAGGACAAAGCUCUACACGACUCUACUUCCAAGAGAAAGCUCUACACCAUGGUGCCGAAGGAAUCGAUGGAAAUGAAUCUAUGGAGAGGAAGAACGGAGAUUCAAGCCGCUUCCGAGAAAGCGAAAGUGAAGCGUGAAAGGAAAAGUGAAGAAAAGCAAAAAGACUUGGACGCUAGCUGUCCCACAAGGGCUAUAACUGAGAAUCAAAAUAUAAAAGCACCCUUGAAAACCAAAAAUAUUUCGAGAUUGUCCUUCGUCGUACCUAAGGGCUUCACUUAUUAUAUAGUUACUAGAUGGCUGGUGCCCGCGCUGUGCACGGGCAUAUGCUCGACAGUAUUGUAUGUAUUGUUUGCACAGCUACAGCCCAACAUAGGAGGUUCAGGCGCCAGCUUUCUACUUCUAUGAAGUAAAUUAUUGAAGGAAACUUUGAUUUUGUUUCAGGUGUCCAUAUUUCAUAUUUCACACAUCUAUUCCCGGGCCUCUUGCCAAAGUGAAAUGUGGAAAUGUGUUGUUUUGCCUCAAAAUUUCCCACACUUAUUGAUGAAUAUCAAUUCACUUCCUGAAGGAAGACAAAAAAUAAAGUAGCAAAGUGCAAAACAAUCUUUAGAUCCAGGAAAAGUAUAAUCCAUUGAAUGCAAUGAAUCACAUGAUGACUGCAAUUUCAGAUCAUGGACACUAACUUGUAAAUCUUUUUCAUUCUUUAGCAAAUAAAAUCCAUCUCUACCCCAAAAUGAGCUUUUUAAUUCAUAGUACAACACAUGCAAUGUUAUUGGAGUAUCUAAAACAGUAACGCCGACUCUAAAACAAACUGACUUUGCCUGCCUCAUUUUUGUGCUCUUCUAGAGUUGUGAUCAUCCAACCCAAGGCUCAAGAGUUCAAUCUCAUUUUCGCAAUUUGCAAUCCCUUUCUCUACAGUCAGUUUGGCAUAUCAUAACAACUCCUGCAAUCCAAGAGUUUAAUCUCAUUUUCGAAAUCUGCUAUCCCUUUCUCUACAGUCAGUUUGGCAUAUCAUAACAACUCCUGCAUGGCUUUAAACCAAUAUACAGUAAGUACCAUAUUCAUAAUCAAAAAGUUUGUAGAAAAAUAAAGAAACUAAAGGAAAUUAAACAAUCUUAACCCCAGCUUCUUUGACUACUGUAUGGAAAUAGAAUUUCAGAAAUGGAACUAAUGCCGGAGCACCCUUUUCAGGCAUAAUAUCACUUGUUUAAUUCAACAUUAAGCGAAAGAUUCCACUCAAUAGCAUAUGAAAUAUGAGAAAAAAUAAAUACAAACCUGGUCAAUCCAGGGGUAGAAACCUUCCUUCAACUCAUCACUCAUGCAUGCCUUGGAAACAGUGGAUCACCUUUUCAAUUCUGGAAAUUUUGCAAGAAUUAUAUGGAAGAAAUAUGGUGGCUAUGUAGGCAUCCAAACUGAGAACAUGCCUCUGAGGUUGCUUCUUAUGAAAUGGUGGAUGCUGAAAACUAAUAAUACUGUGCAAAAACUCAUCCUAGAUACUCUUCCCAUCAUCAUUUGCUGGAAUCUUUAGAAGAACAGAUGUAGUGCCAAGUAUGGGGCCAAAAACUCUUCCCUUACUAGAGUCCUCUACUCAGUCAAUUCAGACAUCAACCUACUCCUAAGAUCCAACUACCCAGACCUCCAAUGGCCUUUUAAUUGGGGGGAACUUUACGCCUUCAUUGAAAACCUUCAGCACCACAUUACCAUAACUCAAGUCACAUGGAGCAAGCCAGACAAUGGAUUUGUCAAAAUCAAUUCAGAUGGAAGUGCAAUGACAAAUCCUGGUAAGAUUGGAGGAGGUGUCAUCAUCAGGAACCAAAAUGGUCACUUCAUUCAUGCAAUGGCUAUUCCAUUGGGGGAGGGUACCAACAAUUAUGCUGAAACUGAAGCAGCCAGAAUAGGAGUUCAGUGGUGUUUGGAUAGUGGAUUUCCAAGAAUUCAUUUGGAAGCAGAUUCUGCACUCCUAGUAAAUUGGUAGGAAAAUGACCUUCCAUGGGUUUUAAGUGAGAAGAUCUCUCAACUCAGGCUCCUAUGCUCUCUCUUUGAGGAUUUCAAGGUUACUCAUGUUUAUAGAGAAGCAAAUUGCCCGGCUGAUUCCCUUUCAAAACUCAGUCAUGAACUCACUUUACCAACUCAUUUCACCAAUGCUGCAUCAUUACCAUCCCAUAUCAGAGGUCAAAUAGUCCAAGACCAAUUGAGUACCCCAGUCUCCAGACACAAGAAAACUAACAGGCUGCUGGUACCACCUCAACAUGCAAGUCCUCUCUCCACAUCUAAUGGUUAUGGUUGAAGCAAUAUCAAAGAAGGAGGCCCAUCCCAACAACUAAAGGAGAUGGUCAGACAGGAAGCUUUCACUAACUCUGUUUUCUUUUUUGCAGGUCCAUCUCUUUUAUGAACUCACCAGUCCUUUGUUGAUAUUCCAAGGGGUGGUAUCAGCACUUGUGCUCACUCCUCUGAAAUUACAACAAAAGAAUGAUGAAGAUCAUAAAGAGAAGCAGGAUUCCUCCUAUACCAUUCAUCACAAUAGACCACCAGAUUUUCACCACCAACACAAAAAACCUUUUCAAAAAGAGGAAAAAAACCUGAAACAAAUGCAAUUCCUAUGUGCACCUCUUCUGGUAUUCCUUCCCCUCCCCAACAAUGCUUCUAGAACCCACAAGAACCUAGGAGCACCCCCCUUCUGUUGGCAAUGCAAUUCUGCACACCACCCUGAACCUCUCAAAUACAGCUUUCCCAAAAAACUGAGCACAAAUGUUCAAUUUCCUACUAACACAUUUCUCUGUUUGCAGGUUCAUCCUCAUGGCCACCACUCAUCCAAUUGAUACACUUCCUAGGAGUGGUAUUAAUAUCAUUGAUGUUCAUUCUCCUGGAAGUAGAUCAGUUGGCUCUCACAACUCAUUCCAACAGUAGCAUCAAAUUACCAAAAAACAGUAGCAUCAACCCACAGAUGCAAUCAGGAACACUCACCUCUCCCAUAAGGAACUUAACAGAUACAAACACAGAAAAUUCAAAGCUUUUUGUAGCUGAAACCUUUAGGAGCUCAGCUGAAUCCAACCUUUUGCCCUCUUUACCACUUCAACAUCUCCAAGGGUAUUAUUCAUGAAUCCCUCUCACCUGAAACCCUUUACACUCAAAGCAACAUUCAAGCACCUAACUUUAGUCUACACAAGAACCUAAAGAUAGGUACCAUCCUCCAUAAAUCAGGGGUCCCAAUUCCCCCCCUUGCCCCCAGAUUCAACACUCAGUCAGUGGUAUCAGCAUUCUUAUGCUCGUUCUGCUGAAAAUGCAUCAGUUGAUCCAAAUCUCUUCACCAACUUCCUUAUACACCCUUUGGGUCUUUCAACCUUGGAUACAACACUCAGCAUAUAUCACAACCAUGAGGCCAUCAGUUCUCAGAACUCAGGCAAAGUCUCAGAAGCAGUUGCAGUUCCAGAAGCAGAUGCAGCCACAGCAUUUCACCACCAAUGCAGCCAUCCCUGUCCAAGACACUCUGCCCAGUUCAAAAUUUAUCAACUGGACAACUGAAGCAAGACCUGAGCCACCAUUUUGCUCACUCUUUUCUGUCAGAAUCAGCAGACAGCGGCAGCCCAGUGCAUCCACUCUUGGAGCCUUUUUGACAGUUAUCUUCCACUUGGCUUUCUUGGUUUACAAUGCUAAAGCAAAGUGGAAGAUAGCCCCUACCAAGGAUCUUGAUCAGGCAUCAUUCCUGUUAGGACAUUUCUACAUGUAUAGAUGUAGAACUUGUUGUAUAAGGAAGAACCUUUCCAACUUUUUUGCAUAGAUUUAGGUUUACUUAUGCUAGUCUGUAUAGUUGACCUAGGUUAUUCUCAGCUUGAUUUUGUAUAUCUGAUUACCUACCACUUAGGGGUAGAUAAUUGGAACCUCAUGUUAGGUCUAACCCAUCACAGCAUACAGGUGUCAUUUGGAUGUCAAUGUUGGACAAACAAAUGCCCUUUCAUCUUAUUUCUGGAGGUUAGGUUUUAUGUCCCCCUCCAAUGUUGUACUUUAUAUUAUAUAUAUGAAAAUCAACCCUAGGCACAAUGCCUAGUGGAUUCCAAAAAAAAAAAAAAAUCUCAUCACUCAUCAGCAUAGCAGUAGAACAUAUAAAAACUCGUAUCCUGUCCUCUGCCUUUUUCUGCCAAUCUUUCUAUCCUCUAGAGUUAAAGUAUCCAUAUAAAUACAGAAAAACAAAAACAGAUUUAGGUCAUGGACAUUGUAAAACACGUCUUCAGGGUUGUUUCAUACGAAAACUAAUGACUGUGAAGAAGGUUAUAGUUUUUACCAUAUUCUAUUAGCUUGAUCCAGAAGUAGAUAGCACCUCCUCAAGGUUCUUUCAUAUGAAAAGUAAUGAAAAUGAAUGUAGGAAAAGAUAUUAAUAAAUUCUAUCAGAGAAUAUCAAUUCUACUGCAAAAGAACCCUGCCACUUGCAUACCACAUCUUACCUUUGCAGUGACCUUUGUUUUAUUACUUUUUUAACAAACUGAUGCAAAUAUCAUUUGUUGAAACUACGCGUAACAUGAGAAAAUGCAUAUACCAAAUUUAGCAGCAAGGUAAGAGAAUAAGCAAUUUUUCACAAGAAAGCAAUAAAACCAAAAUAUCAUUACACCAAAUAUAGUAGUAAUUUUCUAACCAAAAUAAUAGGAUAUGAUUUCUACUGUAAUUGGGAUUGUAAUAGUGUACCAGCAAAUAAUAGAUAUAAGUCAGGUACAGCAGACUCUGGAGGGAAAACAUGAGAAGAUCAACUUGAUGAAUCUCGAUGACUCUUAAACUUGUGUGCCUUAGUAAUAAGCAAAAUCCCCAAAAACAAGC
rnacentral:lncRNA from 1 species